AACGAACGCUGGCGGCAUGCCUAACACAUGCAAGUCGAACGAGACCUUCGGGUCUAGUGGCGCACGGGUGCGUAACGCGUGGGAACCUGCCCUUAGGUUCGGAAUAACUCCCCGAAAGGGGUGCUAAUACCGGCUAAUGUCUUCGGACCAAAGAUUUAUCGCCUUUGGAUGGGCCCGCGUUGGAUUAGCUAGUUGGUAGGGUAAAAGCCUACCAAGGCGACGAUCCAUAGCUGGUCUGAGAGGAUGAUCAGCCACACUGGGACUGAGACACGGCCCAGACUCCUACGGGAGGUAGCAGUGGGGAAUAUUGGACAAUGGGCGAAAGCCUGAUCCAGCAAUGCCGCGUGAGUGAUGAAGGCCUUAGGGUUGUAAAGCUCUUUUACCCGGGAUGAUAAUGACAGUACCGGGAGAAUAAGCUCCGGCUAACUCCGUG
rnacentral:rRNA from 1 species